rnacentral:rRNA from 1 species
UACGUAGGGUGCGAGCGUUAAUCGGAAUUACUGGGCGUAAAGCGUGCGCAGGCGGUUAUGCAAGGCAGCUGUGAAAUCCCCGGGCUUAACCUGGGAACUGCAUUUGUGACUGCAUAGCUGGAGUGCGGCAGAGGGGGAUGGAAUUCCGCGUGUAGCAGUGAAAUGCGUAGAUAUGCGGAGGAACACCGAUGGCGAAGGCAGCCCCCUGGGCUAACACUGACGCUCAUGCACGAAAGCGUGGGGAGCAAACAGG